rnacentral:rRNA from 1 species
CUUUACUGUAGCUUGGAAUUGGGUUCGAGCUUUGCUUGCGCAGGAUAGGUGGGAGACUAUGAAGUUGCUCUUGUGGGAGUAAUGGAGUCAUCGGUGAGAUACCACUCUAACCAAGCUAGAAUUCUAACCGCUUGCCGUGACCCGGCAGCGGAACCGUAUCAGGUGGGCAGUUUGACUGGGGCGGUCGCCUCCUAAAAGGUAACGGAGGCGCGCAAGGGUUUCCUCAGGCUGGUUGGAAAUCAGCCGAAGAGUGUAAAAGCAGAAGGAAGCUUGACUGUGAGACUGACAAGUCAAACAGGGACGAAAGUCGGCUUUAGUGAUCCGACGGCACUGAGUGGAAGGGCCGUCGCUCAACGGAUAAAAGUUA